CCGUUGUACACACCGCCCGUCACACCAUGGAGCGGGUUCUGCCAGAAGUGGUUAGCCUAACCGCAAGGAGGGCGAUUACCACGGCAGGGUUCGUGACUGGGGUG
rnacentral:rRNA from 1 species